AUUCCAGCUCCAAUAGCGUAUAUUAAAGUUGUUGCAGUUAAAAAGCUCGUAGUUGGAUCUCGGGUCCAGGCUUGCGGUCCGCCUCGCGGCGGUCACUGCUCGUCCUGGCCUACCUGCCGGUGUGUCCCUUGGUGCUCUUGACUGAGUGUCUCGGGCGGCCGGAACGUUUACUUUGAAAAAAUUAGAGUGUUCAAAGCAGGCUUGUCGCCUGAAUAAUGGUGCAUGGAAUGAUGGAAUAGGACCUCGGUUCUAUUUUGUUGGUUUUCGGAGCUCGAGGUAAUGAUUAAGAGGGACUGACGGGGGCAUUCGUAUUGCGGUGUUAGAGGUGAAAUUCUUGGAUCGCCGCAAGACGAACUACAGCGAAAGCAUUUGCCAAGCAUGUUUUCAUUA
rnacentral:rRNA from 1 species